rnacentral:rRNA from 1 species
UCUUGACCUCGGAUCAGGUAGGGAUACCCGCUGAACUUAAGCAUAUCAAUAGCCGGGAG